CCUACGGGGGGCUGCAGUGAGGAAUAUUGGACAAUGGAUGGAAAUCUGAUCCAGCCAUGCCGCGUGCAGGAAGACGGCCCUAUGGGUUGUAAACUGCUUUUGUAUGGGAGCAAUAAGGUCUAUGCGUAGACUGAUGAGAGUACCAUACGAAUAAGCAUCGGCUAACUCCGUGCCAGCAGCCGCGGUAAUACGGGGGAUGCAGGCGUUAUCCGGAUUUAUUGGUGCGAAAGGGGGUUUAGGCGGUUGGGUUGAAAUAUUUCAGCUUAACUGAAAGGGUGCCGUUGAUACUGUCAGGCUUGAAUAUGGUUGCUGUGGGUGGAAUGUGUGGUGUAGCGGUGAAAUGCUUAGAUAUCACACAGAAUAUCGAUUGCGAAGGCAGCUCACAAAGCCAUUAUUGACGCUGAUGCACGAAAGUGUGGGGAUCAAACAGGAUUAGAUACCCCAGUAGUC
rnacentral:rRNA from 1 species